rnacentral:rRNA from 1 species
UACGGAGGGAGCUAGCGUUGUUCGGAAUUACUGGGCGUAAAGCGCACGUAGGCGGCUUUUUAAGUCAGGGGUGAAAUCCCGGGGCUCAACCCCGGAACUGCCCUUGAAACUGGAAGGCUAGAAUCUUGGAGAGGCGAGUGGAAUUCCGAGUGUAGAGGUGAAAUUCGUAGAUAUUCGGAAGAACACCAGUGGCGAAGGCGACUCGCUGGACAAGUAUUGACGCUGAGGUGGCGAAAAGCGUGGGGAGCCAAACAGGG